UUGUUUUUUUCUUCUUCUUCUUUUUUACAUAGGGUAGCCCAGGCUACCUAAGCCCAACCCAGGUAUCCUCAAACUCAUUAUGUACACAAGGAUAACCUCAAAAUUCUGAUUCUCCCACCUCCCAAGUGCUAGCAUUACAGGUGCAUAUCACCACACCUGGCUUUUGGGCCGCUGGGGAAGGAAAUUCUGGCUUUGUGCACGUCAGCUGGGGCAGGAACUCAGGACAAACUCUCCACGAGCUGAACUACACUCCCAGCUCCUAAACUUCAGAUUUUCAAUUUUACCAGUGGUGUGGAAGCCACACACAAGCUCGCUAGAAACCACACUUUGAAUUUUGAAUUGUGGUCUUUUCCCAGGCUUGCAUUAUGCGGUAAGGAGAUCUCCCAUGAUGCUAGGCGACGACAGCAAGCUGCAGCCUCCUGGUCAGCUACAAGACCUUGUGAGAAAACACUGACCCUGCCUUAUGCUGUGCUGCCCAUGCGAUUUGGACAGUGUGCUUCCUACUUAGUUUUUAGUGUCAACUUGACACAACCUAGAGUCACCUGAUGCCUUCCUUGCUUCUCCGUCGUUGGGAAGACACACCGCGGCCAAGGCAGCUUACAGGAGAAAGGGCCUCUUAGGCUUCCAGUGCCGGAGGUACCAAUGUUCAAUAAGCUGCAGGGGUGUCCAAUUGUUUGUUAUAAAGCACACUUCGUGUUGAUGUCUGUGCCACUCCAUGGGCUGACUGGAAUGUCUCAGCAGGUUCAAGGCAGCCUGGGCUCACAGCUACUGUGAUUCCAGAAGGUGAUUGUCCUGGAAGACAAGAAUUAUUCAUCCCAGGAAGAUGACACACCAUCUCUUCAACCGAGAGCAUCCAAAAACAGUUUGGGAUUCCUUGAUGUCCUCAGCUGGAAAUCCUCAAGCAGCCAAGCAGCCGCUGUUAUGAUAAAAGCCCGUGGUGAACCUUGACGGAUUCCAUGGUUGACUGGGGCUGGGGACAAACACGCCAGGCAGACAGAGCUUAGUGAGAAGUUUUAUUAGAAAGGAGAGGGAGGGGGAAGGAAAGAGAAAAGAGGUAAAGAGACACAGAGACAGAAGAGAAGAGGGAGACAGGAAAAGUCCUGUCUGCCCCAGAGGAACACAUGAGGAUGCAAUCGUAUGUAGAGCCUGAAACACACCCCCGCCCCCCUACACACACACACACACACACACACACACACACACACACACACACA